UAGGGCGCAAGUGUUGUCCGGAAUUAUUGGGUGUAAAGAGCUCGUAGGCGGUCUGUUGCGUCCGCUGUGAAAACUCGGGGCUUAACCCCGAGCCUGCAGUGGAUACGGGCAGACUAGAGGUAGGUAGGGGAGAAUGGAAUUCCCGGUGUAGCGGUGAAAUGCGCAGAUAUCGGGAGGAACACCGGUGGCGAAGGCAGUUCUCUGAGCCUUACCUGACGCUGAGGAGCGAAAGCCAGGGGAGCAAACGGG
rnacentral:rRNA from 1 species